UGUGAUUGCGGGCCUGGAUAAAUAGUGGAAGAAGAUAUGCCUAGUGCUACAGUAACUUGAGGUGCCUGAGUGGGUUGGUACCCAGGAGGUACUUCCCUUUUCUCAGAGGUGAAAGAGACAGGUUUUCACAACAUCUCCUGAUUGAAAAAUGGUCUACACCGGCUGUAAUAUCAGAACUCCUGGAGCAUCAGGCAGGAACCUCGCAGCAAGUGAUCUGGAGGGCACAGGAACGUCCACAACCAAUCUCAAUUUCAUAUAGCUAGAGAUGCCAUAAACUACAUUAGUGAAUAAGCUAUGUCAUCAACCGAUGAGGUUCUAUGUAAAUCUGAGAUGUCACAAAUGCUUGUGGAGGGCCACCAAGAUGGCUCCCUCCUUUGGUAAAGGUGCUGGCCAUCAAGCCUGAUGA